rnacentral:rRNA from 1 species
GAUGAACGCUGGCGGCGUGCCUAAUACAUGCAAGUCGAGCGAACGGACGAGAAGCUUGCUUCUCUGAUGUUAGCGGCGGUCGGGCGAGUAACACGUGGAUAACCUACCUAUAAGACUGGGAUAACUUCGGGACACCGGCGCUAAUACCGGAUGAUAUUUUGAACCGCAUGGUUCAAAAGUGAAAGACGGUCUUGCUGUCACUUAUAGAUGGAUCCCCGCUGCAUUAGCUAGUUGGUAAGGUAACGGCUUACCAAGGCAACGAUGCAUCGCCGACCUGGGAGCCUGGUCGGCGGCACUGGAUGUGGGACACGGUUCCGACCUCGACGGGAGGGGGCAGCAGCUAAUCUUCCGCAGUGGGCUGAAGCAUGACGGAGCAACGCCGCGCGGGUGAUGAGAGUCGGCGGAUCGGAAAACACUGUUACGCGGGAAGAACAUAUGUGUAAGGAACUAUGUACAGCAUGCCGGUACCGAAUAAGAAAGCCACGACGAACUACGAG